rnacentral:rRNA from 1 species
CUUUGGUGGAAAGCGGCGGACGGGUGAGUAACGCGUGGGCAACCUACCGGAUACGGGGGGACAACAUCGGGAAACCGGUGCUAAUACCGCAUAACACAUUGAAAUGGAAUCAUUAUGAUGUNCAAGGAGGAAUCCGGUAUAAGAUGGGCCCGCGUCCAAUUAGCUAGUUGGUGAGGUAACGGCUCACCAAGGCGACGAUUGGUAGCCGAACUGAGAGGUUGAUCGGCCACAUUGGGACUGAGACACGGNCCAGACUCCUACGGGAGGCAGCAGUGGGGAAUAUUGCACAAUGGGGGAAACCCUGAUGCAGCAACGCCGCGUGAAGGAUGAAGGUCUUCGGAUUGUAAACUUCUUUGAUUGGGGAAGAAGAAGUGACGGUACCCAAAAAACAAGCCACGGCUAACUACGUGCCAGCAGCCGCGGUAAUACGUAGGUGGCAAGCGUUGUCCGGAAUUACUGGGUGUAAAGGGCGUGUAGGCGGGGAUGCAAGUCAGGUGUGAAAGCCCAUGGCUCAACUGUGGGACUGCAUCUGAAACUGAAUCUCUUGAGUACUGGAGAGGGAAGUGGAAUUCCUAGUGUAGCGGUGAAAUGCGUAGAGAUUAGGAGGAACACCAGUGGCGAAGGCGGCUUCCUGGACAGUAACUGACGCUGAGGCGCGAAAGCGUGGGGAGCGAACAGGAUUAGAUACCCUGGUAGUCCACGCCGUAAA